GAAAGACAGGAAGGCCUCAGGGAGUAGCCUAAGGUGACUCAAGGUGAGCAAGGUGAUAAUCUUAUCAAUUGAAUCUCCUUCAUUCCAUCCAUAAGGCCACGGUCUUCUGAGACAGGACAAGAAGAUAGGUUUUUGUUAGUUUGUUUUUUAAUGUGUCACACAAGUUGCUAUCAAAAGCUGUAAUGCAAUGACAUUCCACCUGACAUGGCAGAAGACUUCAGCAUUUAACUAAAAAAUGUAAAAUGUGUCCUGCCAGGUGAAGGGUCAAAGUGACAAACUACUUUGGUAGAUAAGAGAAUGGAGAACCAUUUAUUCACAACUGGGAAGCUACCUACCUACCUACACACACACACACACACACACACACACACACACACACUCACUCACACACUUUUUGUAUCCAGGGGGGAGAAACUGUAUCCAGAGUACACGACUUGGAGCAAACACAGUACCAAAACCGUGCUAGGUUAUAGAAAGGGAUUUCUGAAGGGAUUGGGAAAACCGUGAGAGCCUAUUUAUGGACAUUUAUAGGUGGCUCUGAAUUGGAAGCUUCACUAAUUCAAGAGCGCUUUGGGCAAAGCUGAACUCCCCAGUUCUGCAAACGCAAGCCUUCUGGGGAGAGAGGAGGAGUUUCUCCCUCACCCUCGGAAUGGGACGGCGGUGAGUGACUGAUUUGCAGCGUGAACGACCCAGAUUAAGGAAUGAAAGAGGAACAGGAAAGAUAGAAGGAAGAGAGGGAGGGAGGGAGAAGAGAAAGGUAGAGAGGGGAUUUUUCAAAAAUAGGAUUUAAGACGACUAAAGGCAGAAGGGAUUAGCAAGAGGGGCACUAAGGACCUGGUUUUAAAUUGACAAUGCUGCAAGCAAACACGAUACGCACGAUCAGGGUCUGCAUGUUCCAGCAAAUCAAAUACCAUACAAACCACGAGUUGCACAGAGAUGGCAUCGUGUCAUGCUAGAGCCAUCGGCUACUGUGAGAGCUGUAACUUCUCUCUUCUUGAGUAAUCAAUCAUUCACUAACUGGCCACCUUCUACCCUCUCCACAUGGAGAUAAUUGGGACUCGGCUGACCGGGGCCGGGGACCCUCGGCCUCCAGGUGCGGGCUCUCGGGGGUCCUCGGACCUGCUGCGCUCCUCACCCUCCUUCGCCGCCCGGCUCCCACUGGAGCAUCCGCACUAGGUUGGGGUGGGGAGGCGACUGCUUCCCCUGGUCUGCGGGAGGAUUCCAGAUGCAGGUGUUUUUAUAUACGCCACGGGAUGAUGAACAUGUAACUGGCUCAACACGGUCCAAUUACUCACUUAGACCAAAACAAAACCACGUAAUAUCCCCCCUUGACGCGCACUUGGAAAUCACUGGGAAGCGCGACCCGGCCGACGCCCCCGCGAGACAAGACCCGAAUAAGGACUUGGUUUAACCCAGAGUCUAUAGAUUCUAACUCAAGAUCACGCGCGCGUGCGUGUGAAGAAACCUGGAAACCUCAUUUUUUCAAACCCUUUUAGAAUAAACUUCGAGGCAGAGCUUUAGCUUCUUCUCUGGAGCCUCGAUCCUUUCGGUGAUCGGUGCAAACCCGAGGGCAAGUGGGCCGAGGCCGGGCCUCCUAGGGGAGGUCCGCUCUAUCCUAGUGGAGGCUCGGGCUGGCCGGACUGGGUUCCCUCGGACCCCCGACCAGCUGCGCCCUCACCCGGCCGCGCCCUCCGACCCUCUUUCCCACGCUCCGCUCCGGGCCGGCAAGUCCCAGCACGGCUUGGCCCCGGCCCACGAGGCCUGCUCCUCCCGGCGCUGCCGGCCUCAGAGAGGGAGGCCCCUCCACGGAGUGACCAGACCGCCCGAGACACUGGAAGCCUGAGUUCUCCAGCGGCCUGCAGGCCCGGGCUUCCCUGGUCACCCUUACCCACGCGCCUUCGCAGAUCCUAGGGCUGCUUUAAGGCACAGGCUGGCGGGUACAACUAGUACCACACUUUGGAAAAUGCUUCUUGCAUCCAUCUAAGAUUAAACAUUUUUAGUGCGGGUGAAACAUUAAUGUCAUCGGUUGGACUUCAAGAAUGAUCUAAACUGAGAACAUUUGCCAACUCAACAUCUUUUGUGCUUUUAUAAUUUACCAGAACAUAGUUGGAUCUGCUGUGUUGUAAUUCUCAGAACCAAAAUUCACCAUAUGUAACACAGUUGCAGACUCAGUGCAAUAUCUGUAUUAAAAACUUUGAAAUGACAUCCCAAA